GUCCCACAUGCCUCCGGCCAAAAAACCAAAAUAUAAAACAAAUGAAAUGACAUCUACCUUUCUUUUCUCUUACCGCCUGUGUUUCACUCGGUCAGGUCGGAGACCACUCCCCGUAAUCAAACUCAUCACGUUUGUGAUCUCAGCAUAUUUUCAAUCCAGUUGAAAUCUACUCCCUCAGCUUCUCCCAUCCUGGGAUUAUUCAUCAACAUAGUAAGAGCAAUAAUAAUACUGUAUUUAGAAGUUCCUUAGCACAUUGCAUCUCUGAGAGUCUUACAGAUGUUGUCUAAUUAAUCUUCACAACACCCUAUACAGGAGCAGUAAAUAUUAUUAACCGUAACAGUAUACACAUACACGCACACACACACACACACACACACACACACAUAUGUGCUAAGAACAGCAAAAUAGUUCACUUAUUUAUCAUGGUUCACUUGAUAUAGUAACUGGUAUUUUUGAAACACCCAUCAUAGAUACAAUAAUUAGAAAUGUGCUUUUGUUAACAAAACCACUACCCACUUCUAGCAUACCCUUGGGUACUAAAUAAUUACCCACUUUGUGUGGUUAUCUAGCUCACUAAUUACCCACAGAAAUUGGGGUCAGGUGUUAACUACUUGAAAUAAGUAUCCUCCAAAGACAUGGCUGAGUUGUAUAGAGAAAAUGAUGUGUUCAUAGCAAAACUUUUAUAAGUUACAUAUUUGUAUAUCUUGAUAACCUGAGUGAAUACAGACAGGGACAAAUUAGCUCAGUGUGUGAAAAUCAUGCUGAACCAUUGUUGCAAAUAUCUAGAGGUUUCAGAGAAUCUCAGGAAAUGUCAUUCUCCGUCUAUUUUUCCUUCUUGAAGAUGAGUACAACCAUGAUUCCCAUAAUCUGGACUUCAUAUACAAGGACACUAAGACAAUUGAUGAUUCUCCUUAGGAACGAUUCAUUUUGGCAUUACAGGGAGGCACCCAGUGAGCCAAAGAUUUUUUUUUUGACAGCUCCACCCUUUAUGAUUAUUCUAGCAUGUUUCUUUUUCUCCAUCAGUCUAGUGCAAACACCCUUUUAGCCAAAUCUGAAAAAGAUUCUAACCCAGUCUCCAACCCCUGCCAACCAUCUCUUUCUCCUUCCCAAUAAUGAGAAAGAGAAAAAAAAAAAGGUAUUAAAGGAAACCCAACACCAUGAUUGUAGGUCUUUCUCUUUUUGCCUCAAUUUGUUCUCCUUUCCUCUCUCCUCCUCUCCUCCCUCUCCCUUGUUCUUCUCUCUGCGUCUCCUUCUCGUUUGUGCUUUUUCUUCUCCUUUUCCUUGGCAUCCAGCCGUGCUUCUGCAGGUCUCACAGUCAGAGACAAAGCACAAUAUCUGAGUUGAGCACAAAGAAACUACCUUUUAAAAACAUCGACUUGGAAGAAACCUGCAUGCUCAGCUACCUCCCUCCCUUCCUUGCUCUUUACAGAGCCCAGCAUUAUAUUUAACACAGCACUGCCUGUUGUCUGCAUGAUUCGAGCCACGAAAAUUGGGUGAAGAUGGCAGUAUACCCACUGUGUGUACAGAUAGGUAGAGACCCUAAUUUUCGAGAGCUACCUGCUUUACAAAAUCCUCCUGUAGCCGAGCUUCUAAGAUGUGUACCCACAGAAAUGGUAGGAUAUGCUCCCUUGGUCAAUUCAGGAUGUAUUUCAUUUUCUUUCUUGUGCCACUUUUUUUUUUUUUUUUUUGUCAUCUGAAGGAUUACUUAUCAUGAUCAAGGGGCUUUAGGCUGAUCAACGAAGUGUGCACAGAACUGAUGGACGUUCGAGGAGAAAUGCUUCAGGGAUGAGGAAAAAUGUCUGCAGUAGAAGUGAAGGGUUAGGAUGAGCUACAGUCACUGAUAAGUUCAUUUCCAAACCCAAGGGAAUGUAAGUGGUAAAUUAGUACACAUGGCAAACAGAGUCAAUGCGUAAAACCCAGCCAUUGAAAAGAAAGAGGGUUUUAGCAUUGUAGUCAUCACAUGCCUUAAUAGAGUGUCUGCGUACUUUAAAUAUAGAUUUGAAUCACUGCUCUUUUAUCCCUCUAAAUGCCGAUUUCAAAGAAGUCUUUGGGCAUUGUGGACUUUCUGUCCAUAAAGAAAACCCACCCAGCUUCCCCAAGUACAUCACCUGCACUCACGCAUGCAUGUGUGUUUUAAAUGCCCAGGGGAUGUGGAACAAUUAGGCAGAGAUCUGCACUGUGGUCUCUCGUUUUCACUCCACCCCACCCACCCCCUUUUUUCUUCCCUUUUAGAAAAUGUGAUACCUGAUCUCUGGGUCUAGCAGGGCUGAGGAUUUUUUUUUUGUAUUUGUAUAACACAGUGUCUGGCCUUCCCCCUGACCUGCUGGUGUAUUUUUGGUCUCAUUAGUAGUCAGGCAGAAGCCUUAGUGCAUCCGGUGCUGGGAGUCAGGGAUGAGACACACGACAGCAGAGAGAAGGAGCGGGCGAGAGGAUAUUAGAAGAGAGGCUUGCCUCCAAGAUAUGGAAGGAAGUGAGAAAUGACAGGACGACGGCAAGCUUUGUAUGGAGGAGCCUGGCAGGGCGGGGGAGCCGUGAGGAGCGCGAAGUGGGUUCUCAGAAGCCCUAGAAGAGCUAAAGGUGAUUAGAGGGGGAUAUUGAUUCCUUACUCUGCCAGAGAUUUAAGCAGGCAUGUGAGGAAUCUGCACCAUGGUUGGCAAAAGGAGACCCAUUGCCUCCUGUAACCAGACACUCGGGCUUUCCAGGAGCCCAGGGAGAGAACCGAGAAGAAAGGGGGCAGUGUGGUCUAGGAAAAUUCAACUUGUCGCUGAUUUGUGCCUGAUGCUUGCUGUCCGUCAGCAGCCUCCCUUACAAUCUUUUUUUCCUCUCUCUCCCUUUUUUUCUUGCCUUCUCCUUCUUCACUGAAGCCUAGGGGAGCCAGUAAAGAUUAAAUGUGCUUUCUCAAAGGCAGCCACUUCAUGCUGCUAUGUCGAAAGGGCCAUUAUUAUUAUGUUUUUAACAGUAAAAGAAAAAGGGAGAGAGGUUGAGAGAGAGAGAGAGAGAGAGAGAGAGAGAGAGAAGCUAGGUAGGAGGAUGACGGACUAGCUUUUCUGAGAGGAAAAGGAAAAGGGAAGGGAGAGAAAAAGGAGAGACCCUGAACUGAACAGAGGAUUGUGCCCGCGAAGAACCUACAGAGGCGGCACUAGGAGCCAUCUCCGCAGAGGAAAGCCCAGCUUCCAGGCAGACGCGGGGAAGCGACGAUCUAUCAGGUACAGAGCCCGUAGCUGUCUGCGAAGAUGGAGGGGAAUUGUGCUUCGGAUUCCUCCGAAAUAUUGGCAAACGGCUUCAAAGGAUCCGCGGCGGGAGUGGGGCGGGGGAGAUGCGCCUCCCCGGCUCGCGCCCACCCCUUCCCACUCGCCUCGACCAAGUGACAGCCUGGUGCUGGCUCGGGGUGCUUUGGCCUUGGCUUCAGCCAGGCAGUUGAUGCACAGGAGGCCCUUCGCAGGACUGGCAAAGUGCACGCUAAGGACAGAAGGAGGAAAUUUUGAAAAGCAGCCCUGGGGAGGGUUCUCAUUCUUCGAAAAACAUUUUUUUUUUGAAUUUUUAACCGAAUAUUCUCAAAAUUUGAUCAGCCCCAUUCCCUCCCUCCACUCCCACCGAAUCGCCCUUUUUGCCCCCCUCUCUCGUCAAAGCAUAAACUACAGAGUUACAGUCUCUAGAUUUGGUGUAUCGCUUCCUGCCCCCGCCUCCCCCUCCCUGCCCAGCUCUCAGUCCUCUAUUGAAACACCUCGCCCAGGCAAGCGCGCUGCAGCUCACAUUUCCCCCCCUGGCCCGGACGGUGCUACUGGAGGCUGCAGCCCGACUCCGCUUCCAAUGGUAAGUUGCCUGUUGGAUAAACCUGAAGUUAUUCUUACGGAGUGCACUCUCCCAGAGCGAGGAUCGUGGUGCUCUCACACACUCUCAAGCAAUCCUGUUGCUUGACUGAUUCCUGAACAAGAUGAACAAUGAGCAAGCUCCGUUUUUCUGUCGUGUUGAUGUCCUUUCAGCUGGUCCUAUAGUCCCCCCUCCUCAGGAAUGUCUCCCCAGUGAAAGGACACAGACCACAGAGACUGCUGUCCUGAUGGAUGCUCAAGCCGACUGUGAAGUUGAAACAAAGAAAGCGAUCACCUGAAGACACCUCUCCUGCCAAGUGACACACCCACAUGCUGCAGCUUCAGCCAAUAGAAUCUCAGAACAAUGUUCGAACAAGGCAAGCUUUUCAAGAAACAGAAACACUUAAGAAUGACGUCUAGAUUUCGAAGGAGCCAAGGACUUUUCCCUUCAUCAUGUGUAUUCCUGUUUGUAUUUAAAUUCUGUGUGACAUUCAUUUUUAAAAAACUUUUUUUCUAGUAUGAAUGAAUAUGCUUAUUAAUGCACCAAUUUUUAAAAUAGAAAGUUGUUCAUGCCAGAAGUAAAUUGAAUGUUAGCCACACACCGAGUUUGACCUUCAGAGUGACUUAAGGAAUAUAAAGUUCUUUUGAAAUAACGAAAUAGUGGGAGGCAAUCCAAAGGAUAAAAUAAUGGUGAGAACUCAGACUGUGGCAUAGAAAUACAAGAUCCCGCUGACGCCAACCAACCAACCAACCAUUCUUUUUAUCAGGCAAGCUAGGUUCUGUGAGAUGUGGUCAGUGCCUCUAAAGAGUUUAAAUCUAGUGAGGCAGGGGCACAUAAACUUUUGAAAAGAUAAGUGACAAAUCAGGUCAACUGAUAAGAGCAAAACCAAAACAAAGCCAAAGAUAUAAACAAGGAGCUCAGGGGUCACCUUAAGCUGGGCAAACUGGUCUGUUUAGGGAAGAAAGUUCCCAAAGGAGGAAAAUACAAGAUGAAUCUUAAAGGCUGUUAAAGAUUUAGAUAAGUGGAAAGGAGGGAGAAAAUAGAGGGCUUUAGGUGGAUGCAAUAUUGUGAGAAAAGUCAGAGAGGAAAGCAUCUACGUGGUGGUUUUAGGGAAUUACAAAUAUACAUGUCUUCUGCACUGCAUCCCAGACUUUCAGUGCCAAUGUAUAGCUAUAUAUACGGUGAAGACUUUGCACACACACACUUCCCCCCUUCCUCCCUAGGGGUAGCCUAGAAUUAUAAUCAUAUUUCUUCCAUUAAAGCAACGGAUAGGAAGAUUUGUGAUUUUUCUCUUAGCCUAGUAACAAUGGAUUUUGAUCGAGUUCUCACUACAUGUUAAGCAUUUUCUAUGUUAACUCUCUUAAGCCUCACGACAACCUUGCCAAAUAGAUGUUGGUUUUUAUUCCCAUUUUACACAAAGAAAACUGACUUUUAAUGAGGUUAAGUAACUUGCCCAACUGCCGCAUACAGAGUUCACAAUCAGAAUUGCGAUUGCAGAGCUCAUGAUCUAACGCGCUAAGUCACAAUGUUGCUACCAACGUUGUAAUAUUACCGCUUCUAUAUUCCUCGAUAUUUUUCUGUGGUAAAUAAAUAGCUAUUUCCUUUGAUUAGCUUCUCAAAUUUUUCAGUUUUCUGGUUAAACUCACAUGAUGGAAGGUAUUUUCAUGAAAGAAAUAGAAAAAAAUUGGGGCAAUAGAGUCUAUCCGCAUUUUAGACCUUUUUUUGGGAGGGGGCCAGACUCUGAUGAAACUGUUCACUUCGGUCAGCAUGAAAUCUCAACUACUUGAGAAUAAAAAUAGGAGGUGGGCAGAGCUUAAAGGUCCUUUUCUACAGAUGUGAUAAAUCCAUAAAGUUAGAGUGACUUACGGAAGAUCACACGUUGAAGUGUAGCAGACCUCGGUCCGGAAACCAUGCCGCCCUCAGAGGCUCUUGAACUUCUCCACCCUGUCUAAAUGAAGUGUGAGCUUGAAUUUGAUCAGUGAAAACAUUCUAUCUGGGUGAUCAGGGAGCAUUGUACCUAGUAGAUUGCUUCAAUUUUGCACCUCUUUGGCUUCUCACCUCAAUGUGAAAAUUAGCUAGCUACAAACUGACAUCUUUAGUUCCAGAAACUGUCAAUGGUCCAUCCACAAAGAACACACAAUGGCCCAAGUUACGUGUGCAACGGCUUCAAUGAUAUUCUUAAGUUAUUUGGCAUUCUUAGUUCACCUAAACAAACCAGAUCUUCUAGUGAGCAUUUUCUUAACCAGUUUUAUGGACAGUAUAUAUUUGUAAGAGCUUCUGCAUGAAUAUUUAAACACGACUGUUUCAAUAGUCCUUAUGUUUUUUGAAAAUAUCAAUGGUUAUUUGCUAUUUUAAUUGUUACUAACUCAAGAAUACUUCAGCCAUAAAAAACUAGAACUGAGGAAACCUCACUCUCCUUUACCAGCCCCUUUGCCUUCAGUUGGCAUUUAGUAAUGAUUAAUAAAGUGGUCAGGGGCUUCCCUGGUGGCGCAGUGGUUGACAGUCUGCCUGCCG